UGAGGAAUAUUGGUCAAUGGACGCAAGUCUGAACCAGCCACGUCGCGUGAAGGAAGACGGCCCUACGGGUUGUAAACUUCUUUUAUACGGGAAUAAAGUGCCCCACGCGUGGGGUUUUGCAAGUACCGUACGAAUAAGGAUCGGCUAACUCCGUGCCAGCAGCCGCGGUAAUACGGAGGAUCCGAGCGGUAUCCGGAUUUAUUGGGUUUAAAGGGUGCUCAGGCGGGGGAUUAAGUCGGCGGUGAAAUUUUGCAGAUCAACUGUAAAAGUGCCUUCGAAACUGGUUUCCUUGAGUGCGGAUGAGGUAGGCGGAAUUUGUGGUGUAGCGGUGAAAUGCAUAGAUAUCACGAGGAACUCCGAUUGCGCAGGCAGCUUACCAAGCCGUAACUGACGCUCAAGCACGAAGGCGUGGGGAUCAAACA
rnacentral:rRNA from 1 species